rnacentral:rRNA from 1 species
GACGAACGCUGGCGGCGUGCUUAACACAUGCAAGUCGAACGGAAAGGCCCUGCUUGCAGGGUACUCGAGUGGCGAACGGGUGAGUAACACGUGGGUGAUCUGCCCUGCACUUCGGGAUAAGCCUGGGAAACUGGGUCUAAUACCGGAUAGGAGCCAUUUUUAGUGUGAUGGUUGGAAAGUUUUUUUCGGUGUAGGAUGAGCUCGCGGCCUAUCAGCUUGUUGGUGGGGUAAUGGCCUACCAAGGCGGCGACGGGUAGCCGGCCUGAGAGGGUGGACGGCCACAUUGGGACUGAGAUACGGCCCAGACUCCUACGGGAGGCAGCAGUGGGGAAUAUUGCACAAUGGGCGCAAGCCUGAUGCAGCGACGCCGCGUGGGGGAUGACGGCCUUCGGGUUGGAAACUCCUUUCGCUAGGGACGAAGCUUUUUGUGACGGUACCUAGAGAAGAAGCACCGGCUAACUACGUG